rnacentral:lncRNA from 1 species
UUAGUGCAGAAAGAGCAGGUGAAAAGGUCUAUGGCCGGCUUUCCACUUUGAUUCAGCAGAUUCCUUGAUUGAAUUCUGAAGCUAUUAGUGCAGAAAGAGCAGGUGAAAAGGUCUAUGGCAACCCAAAACACUUCCGCAGUAAUUAAGUGUUUAUGAGAAAACAAAGCAAUUUAAGCAAUGUGCUUAUACCAAAUUGGAUUAAUCCAUAAGUCCUCUGAAAAAAUAAACCCAUUUGACAUUCAUUAGGUCUUAAGAACCAAACGGUGAAAGAAUUCUGCUAAGAUGCUGAUAAGAAUGGACCUUGGGCCUAACUCAAUCUCAAAAGCUAGCUUAUGAGGUGAGGAUCGCCCAAGCCAUAUAAGGAGACCAAGGACCUC